rnacentral:lncRNA from 1 species
GCCACACCUAAAAUAAACAUCAAUGGCAAGGGUAGGUCAACUGCAGCAGUUUCUGAACAAGAAAACCAGAGGCAGAGCGUGAUCAAUAACAAAAUGACUGGAAGAAAGAGAAGGGAGAGAAAGACAGCCAGAGAAGCAACUUCAGAGGCAAAAUAGACACUAAACCCAAUGCCUUUUUGAAAUGCUGUGAAAGGAACAACAUAGCAAAAUUUAAGAAUAACUAUUAACCCAGACCGUCAUGCAGGUGUGAUGUUAGCAGCUGCUUAGAAACUUUCUCCCCCAGUGAGAAAGAAGAACAACUGUGUCCAAAAUGACAAAAGAAUGGAUCAUUAACAAGAUAUUAUAGAAAACUACAUUCUGGUGAGAAACUCUGAUGAAACACAACAGCCCAUAUUGUCGAUGAAAUAAUUCUUCAAUCAUAGGUGAGUGUGACCUGCAGAAGACACUGAUACUACUUGUCAUGAACUCCCAGUUGAGGACUCAGAGAAAUUAAAGAGAAGACCUAAUGGGAGCUGUAGGAGCUACAAUCUUGCUACUGACCCAUCUCCACAGGAUAAAGGCAAAUCAGUGACACUGAGCAUACACGGUUUACAACUAUAGUUCCCAAUUCUGAAAUCUACAAACUAAAUGGAUACCAGUAACUUCAGUAAAACAAACAAAAAGAAGGCUGUUAACUACCUGGAACACAACUACUUAUAAACAUAACCGCUCCUCUGCAGUUACAUGCAGGUUGAAUGCGUUACUCAGUCCUUUAGUGGGGAAAACACACCUCUGGACUUCACUAUGCUUUUGCAGCAUUAUGAUAAGAUAGUUAUUUAAUAGCUAUAUUUCCCUAUUAUAUAACUAUAUAAAGAAAAUUCUAGGUAAUGUGCCAAGUAUUUUUCAGUAGUGAGUAAAGUUUUCAUUUAUACCUUUGUAUCAUCAUAAUUCAUUUAUAUAGUGGUCUCCUAAGCAAAUCUAACCACUUCAUAAUGUAACACAAUGUAACACAUAAAUCUAACACACACACACAAAUGCAUAAGGAAAAAAAUCUAUUUUAUCCCUUAUUACAGGAGAAAAUAGAGAAAGAAAUGUUAUUUAAAAACAUUUUUUUAAAUUAGGGUUUAAAAACUCCCUCAUUUUCAGAAAGUUGAUUCUCACACACUUUUCUUCCAUUAUUCACUCCUUCCCUAAAUACCUUAAGGCUUGGCUAUGCCAGUCUUAUGAAGCCUAUUUCUCCAUAAACUUAAAGUAUGUUCACACUAAGGCAAAGUGAGACUUGCACUUAUAGGAGGUAUGAUGAAAGAGGAAACAUGUCCUUGGAACUUGGGGCGGCAGAUUUAGGUGAGAUGCUGAAAUGGGAAUAGAAUGGCAUGCUGAAAGAGUGUGCAGUAAAAAGGAAACUAACUCAAUGAUCAUCUGUGACAUGUCAACAAGUUUGUUUCUGCAGGAAUUCUGCAAAAUCAGGCUAUCCC